rnacentral:rRNA from 1 species
AGAGUUUGAUCCUGGCUCAGGAUGAACGCUAGCUACAGGCUUAACACAUGCAAGUCGAGGGGAAACGACAUCGAAAGCUUGCUUUUGAUGGGCGUCGACCGGCGCACGGGUGAGUAACGCGUAUCCAACCUGCCCACCACUUGGGGAUAACCUUGCGAAAGUAAGACUAAUACCCAAUGACGUCUCUAGAAGACAUCUGAAAGAGAUUAAAGAUUUAUCGGUGAUGGGAUGGGGAUGCGUCUGAUUAGCUUGUUGGCGGGGUAACGGCCGGCCAAGGCUACGAUCAGUAGGGGUUCUGAGAGGAAGGUCCCCCACACUUGGAACUGAGACACGGUCCAAACUCCUACGGGAGGCA